AGGUUUGGAGUGAGGGCACAGGGUUGCACGUUUCAGUUCGGCAGUGAAUCUCUAGUGUCUCUCAGUACGGGAUGUCAUUCUGGUAGUACUGGAUCAUGUCGUAUGUCCUGCUCCUAGAGAAGAAAAGCAAAGCCAGAGGAAUAAUACCAUGCUGACACAGUAACCUCUGAGGAGAAUACAUAAUAUUAGUGUACUAUCAACUGCAGAGAUAAAGAGGCCACAUGAUCCUUUAAACUGUGUUGGAGACAAUGCCAUGCAGCUCUGCCUAAGUGCAAAGGAACUCAAACCUAAAUAAAUAUUAGUCAAACAUA